GACGAACGCUGGCGGCGUGCUUAACACAUGCAAGUCGAACGGAAAGGCCCUGCUUUUGUGGGGUGCUCGAGUGGCGAACGGGUGAGUAACACGUGAGUAACCUGCCCUUGACUUUGGGAUAACUUCAGGAAACUGGGGCUAAUACCGGAUAGGAGCUCCUGCUGCAGGGUGGGGGUUGGAAAGUUUCGGCGGUUGGGGAUGGACUCGCGGCUUAUCAGCUUGUUGGUGGGGUAGUGGCUUACCAAGGCUUUGACGGGUAGCCGGCCUGAGAGGGUGGCCGGCCACAUUGGGACUGAGAUACGGCCCAGACUCCUACGGGAGGCAGCAGUGGGGAAUAUUGCACAAUGGGCGGAAGCCUGAUGCAGCAACGUCGCGUGCGGGAUGACGGCCUUCGGGUUGUAAACCGCUUUCGCCUGUGACGAAGCGUGAGUGACGGUAAUGGGUAAAGAAGCACCGGCUAACUACGUG
rnacentral:rRNA from 1 species